rfam:Myotis brandtii contig168437, whole genome shotgun sequence.
GGUGGGUCUCGGAUGACGCACCCCAGAAUCAUGCUCCCUCUUCUCUGGUUCUGGGUGCAUCACCCGAGAACUGCU